UACGUAGGGCGCAAGCGUUGUCCGGAAUUAUUGGGCGUAAAGAGCUCGUAGGCGGCUUGUCACGUCGGGUGUGAAAGCCCGGGGCUUAACCCCGGGUCUGCAUUCGAUACGGGCAGGCUAGAGUGUGGUAGGGGAGAUUGGAAUUCCUGGUGUAGCGGUGGAAUGCGCAGAUAUCAGGAGGAACACCGAUGGCGAAGGCAGAUCUCUGGGCCGUAACUGACGCUGAGGAGCGAAAGCAUGGGGAGCGAACAGG
rnacentral:rRNA from 1 species